AGAAGUAUUUAUAGCCUCCAAACUACAAAAUAUCUAAAAUAUUUUAAUCAUAAAUCUAGAGAGUUCUUAACAUAAUAUCUAGAUUAUACUAUUCUAAUUAUCUAGAUUAUUCUAUAAGAAUAUCUAGAUUUUUAUGUUUAAGGAGGUGGAAGAUGAUUCUAGAAGAUUUCUAGAACAUUUUAAGGAGGUGGUAAUUAUGAUAUUUCUAGAGAAAACUCUAGAACUUGGAUUUGGUCCAUCAAGUUUAACUUUCAACACAGACAAGGUAAGGAAACAAACUCGGGACUAGGCAAGCGAAGCCAACAGAGUCGUAAGUGUACCAGUGUCUCGCAGGGGUCUAUGUCCAAUCCAGGAACCGAUUGCCAAAGAUAUCUCCAUUUGGUAGACAAAAGGCUUGUUCUUACCGCAUCCUUAGUAGAGAGAUGAUAAAGUAUUUCAGAUAUCAAAUGUUCCGGUAACUGGCUUAUCCUAUCUUCCUCAUGUGACACUUUGUCACAUAUUUUGGGUUUCUUCUUUCUUCCCACCAUUUGUACAAUCUGCAUCAUCAAAUUUUAACAAAGAUUAAAAUGUUCCGGUAACCGGCUUGAUUUCGCUUUUUUCGACACAAUUUUCAGGUGCAAACGCCUUGCCGUUUAUAUCACCCUUGGGGUUGCUGAAAACGGUGUGAUGUGUUCGUGAUUCAAUUGGCUUCUACUCGGUUUUUAUCAAAGCAUAUAGACCAACUCGGUUUUUUUCGGGCUGAACCCAUAAACCACGAAGAUAAAAUGGUUCAAUGCAAUACUUUUAAGAACAAUACUAAACUAGUAAACUUCAUCUUCUUUUGUUAAUCCGAAAGGUUUGAAAUUUCAAACUGGUUUAAUAACCAUUUUUAGUGAUUUUGACCCUAUUAAUCCAUAAAAUUUCGGAUAUGUCAAUCCGGUUUCA